UUGAAAAACCAAUAGAAACAUUUUAUUUCUCCACAUCCUUCAUCCAAGACUCCAAAUCAUUCUAUAUCUUUUCUUCUUCAACGACGACGAUUCCAAAAGACGAAACAUCUUCUUCGAAAACUCCAAGGCUUCGACGGCGAAUUCAGAGACCAUCACCGAAACCAUCUGCAUCUCAAGGUGCUCCACUCGGAGGAAUGAGGCUAUCAAAGCAGAUUACCCUCUUGGAUCUAUUGCUACUGGUUAUUGCAGAAGUGGAAGCAUCGGGGGAGAGUUUAGAUACUUACGCAUUGAGAAUCGAUUGAGAAGUUUGUAGGAAUUAGUUUUUCCCUGUAACUAUAUAAACACUUGGAAGGGGAUGUUUGGUUCUACAGUGGAUACCAGCCGGAAACAGCACUGCCUCAGGGCAGCAUCUUCUUACUCUGACUCUCUUCGUGUGGCCUUACGAAGGUGGAAGGGUCUUCUUGUGCGGGAUAUUUCAACAGGUGGACAGAACAUGUGCCAGUGUCACCACUUGAGACCUUCCCUACUGUUUUUCAAGUCUGGAACUUGACUUCGGAAUAUUUUCACACGAAAGUGAGAAGUAUCUUGAAUUUUCUGUGAAAUUGUGUUCUAAUAUCACUUAUGCAGCUCUUAGCUUCAGAUUUUGAAGCUCAUGUGCUUAUUCCGUAGGAGGAGAUGCUGGUUGCUUUGUUUUGCUUCUUUUCCUUAAAUUCUCACCUUGAGAAUUGGGGAUUUGCUUGUAACGAUUCACCAAUUCAACCACCGGCAUCUCAGACCAUUCAAUUUAUGCAGGACAAUCUUUUGGAACAGGUGGAAUUCAAAGGUUAGAUAAAGCCUAGCUUUACAUCUCUGGUGAUUUGAGCCGAAACCUCCUUAUGGCUAGCUCAAUUUCUUAAGUUUUAUUACUUUCUUUGUCUUUUACAUACGAACUGCGUAUUGGAAGUUUUUGCUUGUAGUAAUCCUCCAGUUCAACGAGCACAACCUUCUUCGGAUUUUCAAAAUUCUCCACCUUUUGAGGGCAACCUUACCAACCAUGUGGGGUAAAAAGCUUCCCCGAGACAACGCUUAUCGGCCUGGUGGAACUCAGAGUCAGAAGUUAGAAAGAUUUAGUUUUACGUCUUUCUUUUCUUUUGCCCCUCAUAUGUGUGUACAUGAUUUUUGGGAAAGGAGACCAAGACUUGUCAAUGGAGCACCAUGGGGUUCAUAAGAUUUUCCACGUCCAGGCUCCACUGUGAGACCUUGCCAAUUUUAUGGCAGCAGUGUUAAUCACAGAGUUUAAACGCUUUCAGUUCUCUGCAAUAGUAUAUAUUGCAGUAGUAAGAAAAGAGUAGGGUUUGGCGGAGUGAUAUCGGUUUCUAUGCCCAUCUUGAAGCCUAAUAUAUAAGGGCUUACUGUGACAGUGGCUUUGAAACUCCAACGAAAUCACUGUCACUGGAUUUGGCUUAUAGGCUUUAGCAACAAGCUGUUGAAUUGUUCUUAGGAAAUUCCCUGGAUUUCACCUCCUUCGUUUUUCCUUGCUGGCCUACUUAAAUCCGUAGUUUGGAAUAAAGUUGCCCGGUUUGGAUUCA